GAUGAAGAACGUAGCAAAAUGCGAUACUUGGUGUGAAUAGCAGAAUCCCGUGAACCAUCGAGUUUUUGAACGCAAGUUGCGCCCGAAGCCUUUUGGCCGAGGGCACGUCUGCCUGGGCGUCACGCAUCGCGUCGCCCCCCACAAUUCUCCGUAAAGGGAACGUGUGUUUUGGGGGCGGAUAUUGGUCUCCCGUGCUCAUGGCGUGGUUGGCCGAAAUAGGAGUCCUUUCGAUGGACGCACGAACUAGUGGUGGUCGUAAAAACCCUCGUCUUUUGUUUCGUGCUGUUGCUCGCAAGGUAAACUCUUUAAAAACCCCAAUGUGUCGUCUCUUGACGACGCUUCGACCGCGACCCCAGGUCAGGCGGGACUACCCGCUGAGUUUAAGCAUAUCAAUAAGCGGAGGA
rnacentral:misc_RNA from 1 species